UCCUUAGAGGACUAGUGGUUAGGCCACAGCGCUCUCACCACUGCGACCCGGGUUCAAAUUUCCGGCCAGGGAA